GCCCGGGUGGCGAAACAGGUAGACGCAGGGGACUUAAAAUCCCCCGGUGGCGACACCGUGCCGGUUCGAUUCCGGCCCCGGGCACCA
rnacentral:tRNA from 1 species